GAUACAAGUCUCUGUAGUAAUGGAAGAUGUGUCAACUUGGAUGGAUCAUACACUUGUGUCUGCAAUACUGGAUUCACAUUAGUCAAUGCAAAUUCUUGCAAUGCUCUCCCAAGCAGUCUGUCCACUAGUCAAGUGACUGUGCAGAUUACAGGACAAAGUCUGAAUGGUCAAACCCUGACGUAUACACCAGAAUUAACCAAUAGGUCAUCGGCCAAAUUCAUGGAAUAUGAAGUUGCAUUCUGUUACAUUUUCAGCCAAUAUGUAAUGGAACAGUUAGGUUCUACACUUUACAGUACUAAUUGCGUAGUGCUGUCAUUCAGGCAAGGUAGCGUAGUCGGUGACGUGCAAGUGGAACUUGCUGCUAAGAGCCAAAGUGUAGCAGAUGGGCUUGCUGUGAGUUUAUAUGCCUUAUCUACCAACAUUGAUCAAAAUUUAUCAGCUAAUGGUCAAACUCUGGUAGCGUC